rnacentral:rRNA from 1 species
GACGAACGCUGGCGGCGUGCCUAAUACAUGCAAGUCGAGCGCAGGAAAUCGACGGAACCCUUCGGGGGGAAGUCGACGGAAUGAGCGGCGGACGGGUGAGUAACACGUAAAGAACCCGCCCUCAGGUCUGGGAUAACCACGAGAAAUCGGGGCUAAUACCGGAUGGGUCAUCGGACCGCAUGGUCCGAGGAUGAAAGGCGCUUCGGCGUCGCCUGGGGAUGGCUUUGCGGUGCAUUAGCUAGUUGGUGGGGUAAGGGCCCACCAAGGCGACGAUGCAUAGCCGCCCUGAGAGGGUGACCGGCCACACUGGGACUGAGACACGGCCCAGACUCCUACGGGAGGCAGCAGUAGGGAAUCUUCCACAAUGGACGAAAGUCUGAUGGAGCAACGCCGCGUGAACGAUGAAGGCCUUCGGGUCGUAAAGUUCUGUUGUAAGGGAAGAACAAGUGCCGCAGGCAAUGGCGGCACCUUGACGGUACCUUGCGAGAAAGCCACGGCUAACUACGUGCCAGCAGCCGCCGUAA